UAGUAAGUUGAUGCAAGACAGCCUUUCCUCCUCUGCAUCGGAGAGCAAAGGAAGAAAAUCCAAAGGUUCUUCAUUGUUUUGGACCAGAAAACUAUCCCAUGCAACGCUGAGACAACGGUGGCUGCUUUUGAUGAGCUAUUAAAAGCUCACUUCGUCUUCAGUCUCUCCUAUGAUGAAGGGCUUUCUGCGUUCUACACUUUCAUCCAAACAACGAUGUACAACAUCGAUGUUGGAAACACAAAGGAAACCCCACGAGUCAAGGAACUGAGAGCAAGACUACUGCAAGACCAUUAAAAUGGCACCAGUUCACAAAGGUCAGAGCACAGUUAAAAAAAAACUGAGUAUGUUCACAUGUUUUGUUUGUAAAAUGCACCACAAAAGUUGUUCAGUUCUUUGUCAACACUUAAAAUUUCAGCAUGGAUUAUAUCCAGCUAAAAACCUGCCGUCAACUGGCAUUUUACUAUGAAAAUUAUUUUAAGCGGUUUGAGAUUGGUCCUUUAAAAAUAAAUAGCAUUGAUAUCUUGGAAGGUGGAAAAUUACUCUGUCAAACAUUACAUUUAGAUCCAUGCUCAAAUGUCUCAACUACAAGUUGGGUCAGAAAUUACGGCACAGAGUACCAGAUUGAUUUGUUUAUAUGCACUGGAACAUCCCAUGACUUGCCUGUAUUCAAGAAAAUCUGUAAUAUCAUAAUACAUGAGCAGCGUGCUUUCAUAAUAGGCUGUACUGU